rnacentral:rRNA from 1 species
GACAUGCUAGGAACUUAGCCAGUAGGAUGGCUUGGUGCCCGAAAGGGAACCUAGACACAGGUGCUGCAUGGCUGUCGUCAGCUCGUGUCGUGAGAUGUUGGGUUAAGUCCCGCAACGAGCGCAACCCUUGUCAUUAAUUGCCAUCAUUCAGUUGGGCACUUUAAUGAGACUGCCGGUGACAAACCGGAGGAAGGUGGGGAUGACGUCAAGUCCUCAUGGCCCUUAUGGGUAGGGCUUCACACGUAAUACAAUGGUCGGUACAGAGGGUUGCCAACCCGCGAGGGGGAGCCAAUCCCAGAAAACCGAUCGUAGUCCGGAUUGUAGUCUGCAACUCGACUGCAUGAAGUCGGAAUCGCUAGUAAUCGCGGAUCAGCAUGUCGCGGUGAAUACGUUCCCGGGCCUU